rnacentral:rRNA from 1 species
GAUGAACGCUGGCGGCGUGCCUAAUACAUGCAAGUCGAGCGAACGGACGAGAAGCUUGCUUCUCUGAUGUUAGCGGCGGACGGGUGAGUAACACGUGGAUAACCUACCUAUAAGACUGGGAUAACUUCGGGAAACCGGAGCUAAUACCGGAUAAUAUUUUGAACCGCAUGGUUCAAAAGUGAAAUACGGUCUUGCUGUCACUUAUAGAUGGAUCCGCGCUGCAUUAGCUAGUUUGUAAGGUAACGGCUUACCAAGGCAACGAUGCAUAGCCGACCUGAGAGGGUGAUCGGCCACACUGGAACUUAGACACGGUCCAGACUCCUACGGGAGGGAGCAGUAGGGAAUCUUCCGCAAUGGGCGAAAGCCUGACGGAGCAACGCCGCGUGAGUGAUGACGGUCUUCGGAUCGUAAAACUCUGUUAUUAGGGAAGAACAUAUGUGUAAGUAACUGUGCACAUCUUGACGGUAACUAAUAAGAAAGCAACGGCUAACUACGUG